rnacentral:lncRNA from 1 species
AUGUAAAUGAGUAAUGGAAUUUCCACUGCACUUUUUAAUGUGUCUAGUUACAUUAAAACAUGAACAUGUGGAUGAGAUUUUGAACUAUAAAUCUAGAAGGAUGAAGUAUAUGGUAUUCUGUUAGUUUUUGAGGAUGGCCUGUUAGUUUUUGAGGAUUGCCUUUUCUCUGCAUAUUUUAAUUCUAUUUUCCAGAAAUGUCUUACUGAACUAUAAAAAAUAUAUCUCUCCAUCCAGUACCUCCUUAAAGUAUUUUUUUAUUUUGAAUGAAAUUAGAGGUGGCUACUGAUGUUACAAAGAAUCAUAGAUUGUUGUUGGCAAUGAGAAAGAACUCAUAUUUAAUCCAAGACAGGGUGGUCCCUCUAGGUUACUCACUGAUGAGACAAUAACAAUGGAAAAAUUUACAUCAUUGCGUUCUCUUUUUCUCACUGUUAAAUUGUGAACAAGUUCUUUCUGUAGUCCUGUUUUUAUGUCUGUUUCACAGGUUCAAAACAUUCUGGAGUGUUUUCUUCUUCAGUGGUAGUUCGCGAUGAUGACUUACUUCUUUAUAAAUUGCAUUGCCUGGGAAGCAGAUGUGGCUCAAGUGAUAAGGCCUCUGCCUAUCAUAUGGGAGGACCCAGGUUCAAUCCCUGGGACAUCCUGGUGAAGAAGAAGAGAAAGCAUGACUGCGUGUUGAGCCAAUGCCUAUGCGGUGAGCCGAGUACCUGCACAAGGGCCUGUGUAGUGAGCCACAUGAGUGCCCACGC